UACGUAGGUGACUAGCGUUGUUCGGAUUUAUUGGGCGUAAAGGGUCCGCAGGGGGCCGGCUAAGUCUGAUGUGAAAUACCAAGGCUCAACCUUGGAACUGCAUUGGAAACUGGUUGGCUAGAGUAUCGGAGAGGAGAAUGGAAUUCCUGGUGUAGCGGUGGAAUGCGUAGAUAUCAGGAGGAACACCAAAGGCGAAGGCAGUUCUCUGGACGAUUACUGACCCUCAGGGACGAAAGCAUGGGGAUCAAACAGGAUUAGAUACCCUGGUAGUCCAUGCUGUAAACGUUGUGAACUUGACGUGGGAGGAUUUAGUCCCUUCCGUGUCGUAGCUAACGCGAUAAGUUCACCGCCUGGGGACUACGGCCGCAAGGCUAAA
rnacentral:rRNA from 1 species